AUUUAAAUAGUUUAAAUAAAAAUAUUGAUUUGUGGAAUCAAAGAUAUGAUCAUCAUUUUAGAUA
rnacentral:tRNA from 1 species